UACGGAGGAUGCGAGCGUUAUCCGGAUUUAUUGGGUUUAAAGGGUGCGUAGGCGGUUUUAUAAGUUAGAGGUGAAAAUUCGGGGCUCAACUCCGGACGUGCCUCUAAUACUGUAUGACUAGAGAAUAGAUGCGGUAGGCGGAAUUCCCGGUGUAGCGGUGAAAUGCGUAGAGAUCGGGAGGAACACCAGUGGCGAAGGCGGCCUACUGGGCUUUAACUGACGCUGAAGCACGAAAGCGUGGGUAGCAAACAGG
rnacentral:rRNA from 1 species